UAUGGGCGAGAGCCUGAACCANCCCAGUAGCGUGAAGGAUGACUGCCCUNCNNGUUGUAAACNUNUUUUAUAAAGGAAUAAAGUCGGGUAUGCAUNCCCGUUUGCAUGUACUUUAUGAAUAAGGAUCGGCUAACUCCGUGCCAGCAGCCGCGGUAAUACGGAGGAUCCGAGCGUUAUCCGGAUUUAUUGGGUUUAAAGGGAGCGUAGAUGGAUGUUUAAGUCAGUUGUGAAAGUUUGCGGCUCAACCGUAAAAUUGCAGUUGAUACUGGAUAUCUUAAGUGCAGUUGAGGCAGGCGGAAUUCGUGGUGUAGCGGUGAAAUGCUUAGAUAUCACGAAGAACUCCGAUUGCGAAGGCAGCCUGCUAAGCUGCAACUGACAUUGAGGCUCGAAAGUGUGGGUAUCAAACAGGAUUAGAUACCCUGGUAGUCCAAGGGCGAAUUC
rnacentral:rRNA from 1 species